CAAGGCAUACAUGAACUUUUAAUUCAGUCAUUUUAUUGUCAAUAUAUAAUAGUAAUAUAGCAAUAGUAAUUUUGAUUAGAGACUUAAUCCUUGAAAUUAUUUACAAUAGCUUAGCUUGGUAUGAAUAUAUUCAUUCACAACAAACAGGGUACAGACGGACCUCAACACUUUUUCAUGACAAGCAACAUCUAGAUGUACAAUAAAGUGCCAAAAGUAUUUGGUCAUUUUAUUUUUACUAUAUAUUUCUUGCAUUUUUUACAAUUUGUCAAUGAAUUUUUAUGACUUUGUUUAUCAACAGUUUUUUUUUAAUUUCCAAACACUAGUAGACAAUUGCCAUUGCCAAGAUUUUAAAAACUGUAACAUGCAAUAUCUCUUGAAAUCAACUACGGAAAAUUAUACAAAUAUUAUCAUAGGAAUGAGCAAAUAAUUCUCUACAUGUAUGUGAAGUUUCAAAUAAUUCCAUUGCAAAGCGAAGUAAUAAAAUGAAUAUCUGUCAAAAUGCAUGAAAUAUAUAGUGAAAAUUUAACGUGACCGAAUACUUUUGGCACGUUACUGUAUAUAAUUGACAUCAGAUUUGAUGUUAUUAAUUGGUUCACGACCAACAAGACAUUCGUCAUUUUUUCAAGUCCAAUUAGACACUAGUCUAACAACAUGUUCACAUCAAAUAAUACCCAAACAUGCAUCUUGUUAACAUGUUCACAACCACAACAUAAUAAUUAAUGUUUGUAUCCAUCAAUACCUGAACACUGGCCUUUUGUUCACAUUUAAAAAGACAUGGAUGCUUGUAAUUUGUUUACAUCAAAUAUGUUCACUUAACAUGAGCACUCACAACAUUCAACUUAAUUCAUGUUCAUGUAUUGCUAAACUUGUUCAUUACAUAUCUGGACUGAAAGACUUAAACAUCCACAUUGAACAAUAGGCAUGUACACUUGUUACUGUAAACUGAAACAUCUGCCAUUAAUUUACUUAAAUAUGUUUGAUACUGUUCCCUGUUAUAAGGCCAUACUGUUGUAAAAGAACAGGAAAAAGCAAAUUCCUGGUGAGUGCCCCACUUAAAUCAAACCCAGUUUUCCAAUGUGAUAAUCGUUGGCUCUACUAAUCGAGCCAAAGAAGUAGACUCCACCAGCUGAGAGAUGUACACUGUACCAUAUUUACUGUACAAGGUCACAUCGACCUCUGUCAGCUGAGUGACUUGACUGUAACAGUAUUUACAAGGUCACUUUGACCUGCUCUGUCAGCUUAAUGACAUCACAUACUUAACAUUAUGUCAAAGGUCACAUCAACCUCUGUCAGCUGAGUGACAUACCAUAUCUAACACUAUAUACAAGGUCACAAUGACCUACUCUGUCAGCUGAGUGACAUACCAUAUUUAACACUAUAUACAAGGUCACAUCAUAACAUUAUGUACUAUCGACCUGCUCUAUAAGUGACAGAAUUUUUUCUAAAAUAACACUGCACAAAAGCCACACUGAUUCAGUCCAUCAGCUCUAUAACACUUUAUAAUGGUUCUUUCAUAUACGUCAGCUAUACAAAAUGUAUGUUUAAUUGUAAGAUUGUGUAUAUGUACAGUAUUUCUGUAUCAAGAUUUUUUUAACAAAAAACAUGACAAUCACACAAUAAAACUGACAAAACCAAAACCAUAAUUAAUUUUGCCAGUCUUUAUAUUACAUAUUCACAUAGAGAGUAUAUUAUUAUGUUUUAAGAUUUACUAAGACAGUCAUUAUCACUGUUUCAAAGUAAAAUAUCCUUCAAUUUUAGCAAUAGUCUGGUUCUGUCCCACUUGAUCUGGAUACUUUAGAAGCUUGUAACAGGCCUUUGUUCUGAUUGAUCAAGUUAGCCAUAUAUAUAGUUACUACAAAGAGACGACAAAAUAACCCUGACUGUCUGGCAAUAAACCCAGCAAACGGUGAUGAAAGGAUUAUUAUUUUAAUAUUCAGCAAGAUUAGUGAAACUAAGAACAUGUUUGAUGGUAUAUAUUGGUGACACUUGAUAAUAUUGUAAUCUUGAUGCUAUAAUUUAUUCUAUUAUAUCAGAAAGGAACUACAUAUAUAUACACACAUUUUAUACAUAGUUUGAUGUCAAAACUACACUGGAAGGAUAUGUAAAAAAAAAUAUUAAUAAUAGCAAAAUGUGAGUUUUUUUACAAAUAGUUAUGGCAUCAAGGGCUGAACCUAUAAGAAUUAAAUGUUGGAGAAAUGUUGGAAAUUCGCUAAAAGUUUUAUUAGAAAUGAGACUUUUGAUAAUUAGGGUAAUUUCAUUUACAGGCGAAAGUUUUUUUGAAAGUAAUUUGUGAUAAUUGUAUACUAUAUUUUGUAAGUCCCUAUACAGGAUAGCUUUAUGUUUGUUCGACAGUUCAAAUUGUUAAACAUGUUGGUCACAUUUUAAUCUAAAAUAAAUUAUCCGUCUGGCA